UAGAAGCUGUGGGAGGUUCUGCUCAAGGGGUGUGCCUGGAAAAACCCCGUCAGUGGGAGAAGUAUAUUCUCAGCAGCUACUUGGAAGAACUAUGUCACAUCAUACGCCAGAUUAGAAAAGCCUGGAGUUUUAGACAAAAAAACAACCUCAUCAGACAAAACGUCCCUUUGAGAACUUAAUAAUUAGCUCCGAGGGAGACAAGCCUGAGCUGGAGUCCAAGAAGAGGCAGCGUAAAUCCUGAGCCAGACGCGCGGCGGGUGCUGCGGCCAGCUGCCUGCAGCUGUUUCUCAAGAUUUUCUACAACGAUUGUAUAUUACGGUUUCAUAUUUUUAUAAAGGAGAGAAUUAUGCUGAGUUCGUAGGGGGCAACGUAAAACAAACAACCCAUUUCACAGAUUCAAAGAGGACAGCGGACAGCCACGGCAGAGAGCAGCUUCGAUCCGAGAAUUGCAGCCACCGUGAUGGGUGAGCGUCAGAAACCCAGUGAGGAGACCCCAGGCAAGCCGGCCAGCAAAGCCGGGUCCGGCGAGGGUACCUGGUAAAUACUCCUCUUAAAAUCUGAAAACAGGUA
rnacentral:lncRNA from 12 species